rnacentral:tRNA from 1 species
UAGGGUGUAGCUCAGUGGUAGAGCACAUGACUUACUUGCACAAGGCCCUGGAUUUGGUUCCCAGCACCAUAA